CACAUAAAAAGAUAUUUUAAGAACACUGUAUAAAUAAUUUUUAUAUCGUAAAAGCAAAGUAAAUUCUUACAUACCAUAAUACAGAUAACCAAAGGAUAGAAUUUAAUUUACAGUGACACGUGGGCCCACGAAUGACCAAAAGUAGCAAAAGAAAUGAACCUACAGUCUUUGGAUGUGGCAAGUUCAACUGUAAUCCUCGCCGAUAUCAGUUAUCUACAAUCUAUUCUGAACCUGAAAUGGGUGGAAAUGAGGGUGGUGAGAUUAUAAAAUCCCAGUGAGUAAACAAACAUCACUCAAAAUAUCUAAAGUCGAGUAAAAGGAGACUAUUAAAACAUUUCAUCAAAUUGUGAUUUAUCAUCCUUCAACUUAUUUCAAUCAAAUGAAAUCAAUUUAUUUAAAGCAAGUAAUCAGUAUGGCUUAUGAAUUUCUUAAAAAGCUUGGCUCAUACCAAAAAUUAUUAUCAUACUCAGUUAUCUGGGAUACCUUGGUCGAGGGCUAUCCCAACUGAGUCCGCCAAGGCUAUUAGAAAGUCAUGUUUUUAUUUUGAAAACAUAGCCAUUCCUUGGCGUUGGCCGAGUUCCCCUUCACGUGGUGGUUUGGCGUGAAGUGAACUCUAAAAGUUAUACCUCGGGAGUUACCCUACUCGCCUCUCCAACCGAGAUAAAAAU
rnacentral:lncRNA from 1 species